rnacentral:piRNA from 1 species
UUGGUCAGAGCAGGUUUAUGGACCACA